GACGAACCGUGCGAACGUUAUUCGGAAUCACUGGGCUUAAAGGGCGCGUAGGCGGGUCAGCAAGUCUGGGGUGAAAUCUCCCGGCUCAACCGGGAAAUUGCCUGGGAUACUGCUGACCUCGAGUGAGGUAGGGGCGUGCGGAACUUCCGGUGGAGCGGUGAAAUGCGCAGAUAUCAGGAGGAACACCGGUGGCGAAGGCGGGUCUCUGGGCAGUAACUGACGCUGAGGAGCGAAAGCGUGGGGAGCAAACAGG
rnacentral:rRNA from 1 species